GACGAACGCUGGCGGCGCGCCUAACACAUGCAAGUCGAACGAGCGAGAGAGAGCUUGCUUUCUCGAGCGAGUGGCGAACGGGUGAGUAACGCGUGAGGAACCUGCCUCAAAGAGGGGGACAACAGUUGGAAACGACUGCUAAUACCGCAUAAGCCCACGGUGCCGCAUGGCACAGAGGGAAAAGGAGCAAUCCGCUUUGAGAUGGCCUCGCGUCCGAUUAGCUAGUUGGUGAGGUAACGGCCCACCAAGGCGACGAUCGGUAGCCGGACUGAGAGGUUGAACGGCCACAUUGGGACUGAGACACGGCCCAGACUCCUACGGGAGGCAGCAGUGGGGAAUAUUGCACAAUGGGGGAAACCCUGAUGCAGCGACGCCGCGUGGAGGAAGAAGGUCUUCGGAUUGUAAACUCCUGUUGUUGGGGAAGAUAAUGACGGUACCCAACAAGGAAGUGACGGCUAACUACGUGCCAGCAGCCGCGGUAAAACGUAGGUCACAAGCGUUGUCCGGAAUUACUGGGUGUAAAGGGAGCGCAGGCGGGAAGACAAGUUGGAAGUGAAAUCUAUGGGCUCAACCCAUAAACUGCUUUCAAAACUGUUUUUCUUGAGUAGUGCAGAGGUAGGCGGAAUUCCCGGUGUAGCGGUGGAAUGCGUAGAUAUCGGGAGGAACACCAGUGGCGAAGGCGGCCUACUGGGCACCAAUUGACGCUGAGGCUCGAAAGUGUGGGUAGCAAACAGGAUUAGAUACCCUGGUAGUCCACACCGUAAACGAUGAUUACUAGGUGUUGGAGGAUUGACCCCUUCAGUGCCGCAGUUAACACAAUAAGUAAUCCACCUGGGGAGUACGACCGCAAGGUUGAAACUCAAAGGAAUUGACGGGGGCCCGCACAAGCAGUGGAGUAUGUGGUUUAAUUCGACGCAACGCGAAGAACCUUACCAAGUCUUGACAUCCCUUGACAGGCAUAGAAAUAUGUUUUCUCUUCGGAGCAAGGAGACAGGUGGUGCAUGGUUGUCGUCAGCUCGUGUCGUGAGAUGUUGGGUUAAGUCCCGCAACGAGCGCAACCCUUAUGGUCAGUUACUACGCAAGAGGACUCUGGCCAGACUGCCGUUGACAAAACGGAGGAAGGUGGGGAUGACGUCAAAUCAUCAUGCCCUUUAUGACUUGGGCUACACACGUACUACAAUGGCGUUAAACAAAGAGAAGCAAGACCGCGAGGUGGAGCAAAACUCAGAAACAACGUCCCAGUUCGGACUGCAGGCUGCAACUCGCCUGCACGAAGUCGGAAUUGCUAGUAAUCGUGGAUCAGCAUGCCACGGUGAAUACGUUCCCGGGCCUUGCACA
rnacentral:rRNA from 1 species